rnacentral:rRNA from 1 species
AACGAACGCUGGCGGCAUGCCUAACACAUGCAAGUCGAACGAGAUCUUCGGGUCUAGUGGCGCACGGGUGCGUAACGCGUGGGAAUCUGCCCUUUGGUUCGGAAUAACAGUUGGAAACGACUGCUAAUACCGGAUGAUGGCGAAAGUCCAAAGAUUUAUCGCCAGAGGAUGAGCCCGCGUAGGAUUAGCUAGUUGGUGUGGUAAAGGCGCACCAAGGCGACGAUCCUUAGCUGGUCUGAGAGGAUGAUCAGCCACACUGGGACUGAGACACGGCCCAGACUCCUACGGGAGACAGCAGUGGGGAAUAUUGGACAGUGGGCGAAAGCCUGAUCCAGCAAUGCCGCGUGAGUGAUGAAGGCCUUAGGGUUGUAAAGCUCUUUUACCCGGGAUGAUAAUGACAGUACCGGGAGAAUAAGCUCCGGCUAACUCCGUGCCAGCCGCCGCGGUAA